ensembl:snRNA U6 U6 spliceosomal RNA
GUGCUCACUUCAGCAGCACAUAUACGAAAAUUGGAAUGAUAUAGGAAGAUUAGCAUGGCCCUGUGCAAGGAUGACACACAAAUUCAUGAAGCAUUCCAUAUUUUU